UACGUAGGGUGCAAGCGUUGUCCGGAAUUAUUGGGCGUAAAGAGCUCGUAGGCGGUUUGUCGCGUCUGCUGUGAAAAUCCAGGGCUUAACCCUGGACCUGCAGUGGGUACGGGCAGACUAGAGUGCGGUAGGGGAGAUCGGAAUUCCUGGUGUAGCGGUGAAAUGCGCAGAUAUCAGGAGGAACACCGGUGGCGAAGGCGGAUCUCUGGGCCGUAACUGACGCUGGAGGAGCGAAAGCAUGGGGAGCGAACAGG
rnacentral:rRNA from 1 species